rnacentral:rRNA from 1 species
UACGUAGGUGGCAAGCGAUACUCGGAAUCACUAGGCGUAAAGCGCAGGUAGGCGGUUUGGUAAGUCUUUUGUGAAAGCUCCCGGCUCAACUGGGAGAGGUCAAGGGAAACUACCGGACUAGAGUGUGGUAGGGGAUACUGGAAUUCCUGGUGUAGCGGUGAAAUGCGCAGAUAUCAGGAGGAACACCAAUGGCGAAGGCAGCUCGCUGGGACGUGACUGACGCUGAGACGCGAAAGCGUGGGGAGCAAACAGG